AGAGUUGAUCAUGGCUCAGGAUGAACGCUGGCGGCGUGCCUAACACAUGCAAGUCGAACGGGGUUAUGACGCUGAGGAGACUUCGGUCAAAUCUUGUUGUAACUUAGUGGCGGACGGGUGAGUAACGCGUGGAUAACCUGCCAUACACAGGGGGAUAACAGUUAGAAAUGACUGCUAAUACCGCAUAAGCGCACGAGAGGGCAUCCUUUUGUGUGAAAAGCGCAUACGGUGUAUGAUGGGUCCGCGUCCGAUUAGCCAGUUGGCGGGGUAAGAGCCCACCAAAGCGACGAUCGGUAGCCGGCCUGAGAGGGUGAACGGCCACAUUGGGACUGAGAGACGGCCCAAACUCCUACGGGAGGCAGCAGUGGGGGAUAUUGCACAAUGGGGGGAACCCUGAUGCAGCGACGCCGCGUGAGUGAAGAAGUUAUUCGUAAUGUAAAGCUCUAUCAGCAGGGAAGAAACAGACGGUACCUGACUAAGAAGCACCGGCUAAAUACGUGCCAGCAGCGGC
rnacentral:rRNA from 1 species